CGUAUUGAGAAUUAAGCAAGAUUGUUAAAAUCGGGAUCCUAUGUUGGAUCGUUGAGGUGUUUAUAGGAUCGGAUCGUAGGAUCGGAUCGAUGAUCGUAAAAUCCUACCGAAAAAGACAAAUUACAUAAUAAUUUAAUUUAAAUAAAUAUUUCUUAAAAAGUAUACACAAAAUGAACCUAUAUUCUAUUAAAAAAAGGGGAAGAUAUUUUGAAACAUAUAAUACUCCAUGUAAAAUGUACAUAUAAUAUUAUAUAACAGAAAACUCGAUGGUAAAAGUUUUGUAUUUCAUCAAAAAAGAAAGUGAAGAACAAGAAUUCUAUAACAAAAUACUUUACAAUCUACAAUAAUGCAUAAAAAGUGAAAAAAAAAUAUUUAACAAAGUUGAAUAUGAAAAUAGAUUAAGAACUCAAAAGAGCAACUUAACCUUCAACAUCCUUGGUGAAACGAAUUCGAGUCACAAAAAUAAUUUCUCCAAAAAUUGAGAUAAAGUUGCACUCAUCUUACACUCAUUAGACUUUGCUAAAAUUAAGUUUGUUUUUCCGACUAGUUAAUUUUCUUAAAUUAUAGCAAUAUUUGAAUGUUUGUUUCCUAGUUUGUUUUUCUUAGUCUAUUUGAUCCAAUACUAUUUAAUUUUUAUUAUUUAUUUUGACCACAUAAAUUGAUGUUUAGACAACAAAUAUAAAAUUUACAAUAAAAUAUGUCAUACAAUACAAAACAAGGCUUGUAAAUUGGAUCAGAUAGGAUCGGAUUCGGAUCAAGAUUUCACGAUCCUAUAAGAUCUUAUUACCACCAGGAUUGAAAUAUCCUACCUAUAAGGAAUCUUUUACACGAUCCGGAUCGAUUGUACUCAAAUAGAUCAUAAGAUCGUAGGAUCGUAAAAUCCAGAUCGGGAUUUUGAUAACCAUGGAAUUAAGGUCUAGAUUUGCAAAAUGGGUGCUGGGUUUGGGUUUAAAAGCCCUAAAGUUAAAUGCACAAAUAUCUACAAAACACAUGGCCUGUUUAAAUGUUGCUUAGAAUUUGAAAGAGUUCAUUCACAUAUAGUAAAAUGUAAGCUUCUUAAAUUUUUAUUUUCAUUUUAAAAAAAAUUGAAUUUUGGACUUUCAAAAAAAUAGAAAAGAAAAAAUUACAUAAAUAAUCCCCAAGGUUUAGCCCUUGUAACAAAUUGAACCUGAAAAUUUGAAUUUUGGACUUUCAAAAAAAAAGAAAAGAAAAAAUUACAUAAAUAAUCCCCAAGGUUUAGCCCUGGUAACAAAUUGAACCCAAAAAAUUUGAAUUUUGGACUUUCAAAAAAAUAGAGAAGAAAAAAUUACAUAAAUAAUCCCCAAGGUUUAGCCCUUGAAAUAAAUUGAACCCAUCUUGUCGCCACACAAGUGGUUGUGGUGAGAGGAAGGUUAGGAGUUCAAGUUGAUAGAGCGGCGGCAACCCUUUAGUGAUAAUCUAACUUCACUAACAAACUUGGCCAAAAAAAAAACAAAUUGAGCGCUGGGUUUUAAAUUUUCUUUUCAUAUUAAACCCUAAUCUUCCAAUUAGAUGUCAAUCCCAACCAUUCAUUUUUUUGCCUCAUUCACUUAAUUUUAAUCAUAAUUUUGAAUUUAUCCUACCAAAUCAAUACCACACUUUAUUAAAUAUAAACAAAAUCAACAAAAUCAGAACCACUUAUCGAUGAUCCAAACAACAUCCAUAUCCAUCAAAAUAUUAGAUCCGAUAAUUGUAACAUUUAUUUUAUCAUGUUUGUCUUGGAAAAAUAAAUGAUCUACUUUCAAAAAUACAUUUACCCUCUAAUUUUUUAGUGACAAUUGUGUAAAUGAUAUAAACGAACAGCUUAAAAAAUGAAUGUCAGACAACGCUCUCACAAUAAGAAAAUGAAUGAAUGCUUUCAAUAGUAUAGAUAUAAUGUUAUGCAAGAAGCAGGGAGGGUAUGAGAUCACUGAUUGACCCCCCCAAAAAAUACCAUCUCCACAAUAAACAUAGAUAAAGAAGAUGGUAUAAAAA